rnacentral:lncRNA from 1 species
CAGAAGAGAGCUUCAAUUGGAUCUUCAGCAGGUGAUGCCAUCUUGUCCAGGGGCUCUUUUGUCUUGCACUGUGGACACUCAGCACUGGAGAAUUCUUUGCUUUCUCUGUGUCACAUGACCGACACACAACUGCAGAAGACCUGGGGAGGAGGCGCCAUCCCUACCCCUAUCUGAACAGAGGAAGGGAGACCCCCAACAGCUGGGUUGAAUCGCUUGCCAACGUCAGAGAACAAGACUUACUGAAGAAUUUCUCCCUCUUGGUGACUGAGUGACUGGUG